rnacentral:misc_RNA from 1 species
GAUGAAGAACGCAGCGAAAUGCGAUAAGUAAUGUGAAUUGCAGAAUUCAGUGAAUCAUCGAAUCUUUGAACGCACAUUGCGCCCGCCAGUAUUCUGGCGGGCAUGCCUGUUCGAGCGUCAUUACAACCCUCAGGCCCCCGGGUCUGGCGUUGGGGAUCGGCGGAGCCCCCCGUGGGCACACGCCGUCCCCCAAAUACAGUGGCGGUCCCGCCGCAGCUUCCAUCGCGUAGUAGCUAACACCUCGCGACUGGAGAGCGGCGCGGCCACGCCGUAAAACACCCAACUCUUCUGAAGUUGACCUCGAAUCAGGUAGGAAUACCCGCUGAACUUAAGCAUAUCAAUAAGCGGAGGA